GACGUAGGGCGCGAGCGUUGUCCGGAUUUACUGGGCGUAAAGGGCGCGUAGGCGGCGCAACAAGUCACUUGUGAAAUCUCCGGGCUUAACUCGGAGCGGCCAAGUGAUACUGUCGUGCUAGAGUGCGGAAGGGGCAACUGGAAUUCUCGGUGUAGCGGUGAAAUGCGUAGAUAUCGAGAGGAACACCUGCGGCGAAGGCGGGUUGCUGGGCCGACACUGACGCUGAGGCGCGAAAGCCAGGGGAGCGAACGGG
rnacentral:rRNA from 1 species